rnacentral:rRNA from 1 species
UACGUAGGGCGCAAGCGUUUGUCCGGAAUUAUUGGGCGUAAAGAGCUCGUAGGCGGCUUGUCACGUCGGGGUGUGAAAGCCCGGGGCUUAACCCCGGGUCUGCAUUCGAUACGGGCUAGCUAGAGUGUGGUAGGGGAGAUCGGAAUUCCUGGUGUAGCGGUGAAAUGCGCAGAUAUCAGGAGGAACACCGGUGGCGAAGGCGGCCCGCUGGGCUGUGGCUGACGCUGAGGCGCGACAGCGUGGGGAGCAAACAGG